UUAUGACCGAGAGCCUGACACCUGAUGCUGGCGGCUUUUGUCUCUCCAAGUUGGGCCAGUAUUUGGCCAUCUUAUGCGGCGGGUGACUAUGGUGUCCCAGUAAGUGGCUGACGUGGCAGGCGUCCCUGGAGUGGGAGAAGAGAUGGAAAUCCUGUUGCCUGCCACUCCUGGAAUUGAUUCCAAGGCCUCAAGCAUGCUAGCUGAGUGUGCCACCAAUGAGCUGUAGCCCAGCCUUCAUGGCUUUUGUUGUCUUAAGUAACUGGCUCAGACCUACUUCUCCAGACUUUCCAGUUCAUUGCACUGGAACAUGGAGCAACGAUCGGUAGUGUCCAUAUCUCCUCAUCCUCUUGGUCUGCGGCUCACCUCCUGCCGGAACCCGCAGGCUAUCCUCUUGGUCUUCGGCUCACCUCCUGCUGGAACCCGCAGGCUAUCCUCUUGGUCUUCGGCUCACCUCCUGCCGGAACCUGCAGGCUAUCCUCUUGGUCUGUGGCUCACCUCCUGCCGGAACCCGCAGGCUAUUGCUAUUCUGCAUCGACUUCCUGUCUCUGUUUAGAGUGCCCAUGAGUGUUGAGUUAAUGGGGAGUGGCACUUUUUGGAGGUGUGGCCUUGCUAGAGUUGG